rnacentral:rRNA from 1 species
CCUACGGGUGGCAGCAGUGAGGAAUAUUGGUCAAUGGACGAGAGUCUGCACCAGCCAAGUAACGUGAAGGAUGACUGCCCUAUGGGUUGUAAACUUCUUUUAUAUGGGAAUAAAAUGUUCCACGUGUGGGAUUUUGUAUGUACCAUAUGAAUAAGGCUCGACUAACUCCGUGACAGACGCCGCUGUAAUACGGAAGAUCCGAGCGUUAUCCGGAUUUCUGGGGUGUAAAGGGAGCGGAGGUGGAUUUUUAAAUCCGUUGUGAAAGUUUGCGGCUUAACCGUAAAAUUGCAGUUGAAACUGGCAGUAUUGAGUACAGUAGAGGUGGGCGGAAUUCGUGGUGUAGCGGUGAAAUGCUUAGAUAUCACGAAGAACUCCGAUUGCGAAGGCAGUUCACUGGACUGCAACUGACACUGAGGCUCGAAAGUGUGGGUAUCAAACAGGAUUAGAUACCCCAGUAGUC